rnacentral:rRNA from 1 species
CGGCGAACGGGUGAGUAACACGUGGGUGACCUGCCCUUCACUCUGGGAUAAGCCUGGGAAACUGGGUCUAAUACCGGAUAUUCACUACUUGUUGCAUGGUGGGUGGUGGAAAGUUUUUUCGGUGGGGAUGGGCCCGCGGCCUAUCAGCUUGUUGGUGGGGUGAUGGCCUACCAAGGCGACGACGGGUAGCCGGCCUGAGAGGGCGACCGGCCACACUGGGACUGAGACACGGCCCAG